GAAAGAAAUCCAAAUUGGAUCCCUGGAACGCACGGAAGAAAAUAAUUUGCAAUUACUUUUACCCUGGUCCUGUCUCAACUGAAAUCAAUAAACAAAUGGACACGUAUCAGGUUAAAGAAAAGAGCUGAUUCAGUGGAACUGAGUGCAGUGUUUCCCAUUCUUUCUGGCAAGUGGAAGAAUAAAGAAAAAGGGAGAGCUUUAAGGAAGCAUUUGAAGGGGCCUUAUGAAGUAAAAGAGAAACUUCUUUUGAAGUGAAAUGAAGAGAGCCAACAGCAGAAGCAGGUGAACACCACCAGGCGAGGUGUUUGCUCCAACACAAUGUGUGGAAAGCACUGGAUGAUGUUACAGGCAGUGAGAGGAGUUGGCAUCAUGAUAACAAGCAGCACCUUAAUGAGUAGAAAAUGGGGAACCAUAAGCCACAGGUGAAGACACUUAGCUUAUGCUUGCUGUGGUGGGGAAGUAUUAUAACGUGAGCAGUCCCACAAUUUCUGGUAAUAAUCUGAAUGUAUGCAAUUGUUAGCCUCUCCUGCAAGCAUGGUGAGGUUUGUAGAAAUACAAGAUGCAGGCAAACCCCUUCUUAGGGAGUUUUGACAAAACACACAGCUAAGGAGGAGUUGGUAACUGAGUCACAUGUAGUUUUUAGUUUAAAAAUCUUGUCUGAGCAGAAGUAUGUGGAUGGGUGAUAAUUCUGAAGAGUAUCAGUUUUCCAUUACAAGUUGGAGCUAUAACUUUCCAUUUAUUUUAACUUGCAUGAAAUUCAUUCUAAAGUCAAUCUUCUCACAUCUGUUUUGUUUUAGUGUUGUUACACUCUGCAAGGAGACUGUGGUUUAGAGAGUUAAUCAGAAGAAAAAAUUGUAAUGGGUAGAGGAGGAGAAUCUAUGUGGCUAUUGAAUCCCCACCAUUGUUUUUCUCUCUUGAGACCUGCUACAAAGUGAAGUGAAAAAGAACCCUUUUCACCAUCUUACUUUGAGCUUUGGGUUUGUCUCCCUUACCUUAUUAGUUGCACCAGCAAGAAGACCAAAUAAAUUAAUAGGGAUGAAUAUGAUAUUGGUAUCAAACAAUUUGUAGAAUUGUUGAAGAUGUCACUGAAGAUGCACUCUCUAGUACAUCUAAUUCAAAGAGCCAUUCAAAAUAAGUGCAGGUAUUCUGGGAUAAUAAAUAAACCAAUAUGCUACUUUUGAUUUGCUGAUCCCUCUGAAAGUAUUGGUCUGAUUCAAUCUACUUCCAGGUGCUAGUGGUGUUCUGCUCUGCACUGCUUACAUUUCUUGCUCUAUUGUGCUAUAGCUGAAACAAUCUGCUAGAGAAUUGUGAGGCAGGAAUGCACAGAAGCAGAACUUUUUCCCAAGAAAACUUCAGCUUUUAUCAUGGUUAAUUCAGCUCUUGCUUUUCAAACUAUCCUUCAGACUUAUGCCCAAAUUUACAGUUUUCCCAAGCACUAUCAGAAAAAUAAAACUAUAACGUAUUUUCUACUUUCUGUCAUCUGUCUUUUUUUCUUUUUAAUUUGUCAGAGAAGUUAACAAAUUUUGUUAAUUUGCCUACCACAGAGGAAAAAUAUGCAUGCUGUAUUUUCCUUCUUCUGUCUUUCCUUUGUCAAAGUACUGCUCUUUUGAGAGAGACUGCACUGAGUCUUUUUGUGACUGCGUGAGGAUGCAUCUUUCCUGAACCUGGGCGUGUCAUGAAUGACAGUGAAAGGUCACUAGACAGACUUAGGACAUGUCUUUACUAAGAUAAAAUUCAAAUUUAGGUCAGACUUAGGAAAAAAA